AACAUGCUCCCAUAUGUCCUUUUUUCCCAUACAUUGGCCAUCACAAAACUGGUUAAUGACUAACCAGUUUUCUUCGUUCAUUUUAUACGUAUAUAAAAGCCAUGUUCAAUUCUAAAAUAAUCACAAUUCAGUUGUUCUUGCUUCAAUUGCGUGUUCUACAUUUAAUUGAAAAAGAAAAUGAUGAGCUUUAAAUUUUACGGACUUUUCUUACUUAUUGCUGUUAUUUUGAUAAUAAUGGCACCAACAACAUGGGCCUGCAUUAGAACCAGAGAUGGCUGUCAACCUGAUGGAAGUCAAGGUAAUUGUUGCUCAGGAUAUUGCCACAAGGAGCCAGGAUGGGUUGCAGGAUAUUGCAAAUAGGAUAUAUGACAAUGUUCGACUGGAAAUGAAUGUACUGAAAAUUGAAAAAUGUAAAAGUUUAUCGCUUUUGUUAAUCUUAAAAUUUUGUAUUUGGAAUAAAUUUAUUAUAACUUUGAGAAGUGCAAAUACUAAUUUUAAAAAUUAUUAAUUGUUUCACUAAAAUGUGUUUUUCUAUCAAAAAUAAAAUGAUAAAAAUUUUAA